AUGGUGCACAGCGCGUAUGACGCCGUCGAGCUGGUCUCCGGCGUGCCCGGCCGCAUCGAGGCCGUCGCCUCCCACGGCGGGAAGCUCCUCGUCGCGGCCUCCGACUGCUCCCUCCGCAUCUACUCCGCGCCGGCCCCCGCCGACGGAGGCGAGAUCCGGAGGGACGGGCCCUACGCGCUCGAGCGCCAGGAGCAGCGCCUGUGGCGCCGCGCGCCCUCCGCGAUGGAGGCCAGCGCCAGCCGCGACCUCCUGCUCUCGCUCUCCGAGUGGGUCGCCCUCCACCGCCUCCCGGGGCUCGAGACCGUCGCCGUCGUCUCCAAGACCAAGGGCGCCAACGUCUUCGCCUGGGACGACCGCCGGGGCCUGCUCGCCGCCGGCCGCCAGAAGCGCCUAACCGUCUUCCGCCUCGACAGUGGGCGAGAAUUUGUCGAGGUGAAGGAAUUUAGUGUGCCUGAUAUUGUGAAAUCAAUGGCCUGGUGUGGUGACAACAUAUGCCUUGGGAUCAGGAGGGACUAUAUGAUCAUAAAUAGCGUGACUGGGGCAUUAACUGAAGUGUUCUCUUCUGGGAGGAUUGCUCCUCCUUUAGUUGUGCCUCUUCCUACCGGGGAGCUCCUCCUUGGAAAGGACAACAUCGGUGUAUUUGUUGAUCAAAACGGGAAACUUAUUCAUGACGGUCGGAUAAUUUGGUCGGACACUCCUGCCUCUGUUGUUGUACAUAAGCCGUAUGCUGUGGCACGUCUGCCACGACAUGUUGAGAUACGGUCUCUUAGAGCUCCCAGCGCAUUGGUUCAGACAGUUGUCCUCCGUGAUGUUCAAAAGCUUGUUCAAACUGACAACUAUAUACUUGCUUCGCUGUCCAACUCAGUCUAUGGUUUGCUGCCUGUUCCUAUUGGUGCUCAGAUAGUGCAAUUGACCGCCUCUGGAGAAUUUGAGGACGCGCUGGCAUUGUGUAAGUUACUUCCACCUGAGGAUUCAAACCUACGAGCUGCAAAAGAAAGCUCAAUACACAUGAGAUAUGGGCACUUCUUAUUUGAUAAUGGGAGCUAUGAGGAAGCAAUGGAACAGUUUUCGGAUGCACAUGUGGAUAUUACUUAUGUGCUAUCUCUAUACCCAUACCUUGUUCUGCCUCAAACACACAUUAUAGGUGAACAUGACAAGCUUCAAGACCUUCAAGAAUUAGCAAGAGAAUCUUCUGAUGCGACAGAUGAAAUGGAAGCAUACUCUUUGCAACUUCAUGAUUCUGAUGAUAAAUCUCCAUUGGAGAACAAGAAAAUGAGUCAUAAUGCUCUAAUAGCCCUUGUGAAGUACUUGCAGAAGAAAAGAAAUGGUAUAAUUGAUAGAGCGACAUCUGAAGUAACUGAGGAGGUCGUCUCUGGAGCUGUGCACCAUAGCUUAAACUUAUCUGAGCCAUAUAAGGCAAAGAAGCCAAAUAAGAAACGGCCCCAAACACAUAGAAGCUCUGUUGCAAGAGAAAUGGCGAAUGUGCUGGACACAUCUCUUCUUCAAGCUCUUGUUCUUACAAGACAGUCACCAGGAGCUAUAGAGUUAUUGAAAGGACUCAAUUAUUGUGAUUUGAAGAUAUGUGAGGAGUUUCUGAAGGAAAAGAGCGAUUAUAUGGUAUUACUUGAGCUCUACAGAAGCAAUGACAUGCACCGUGAAGCUCUCCAGUUACUCAAUCGGUUGGUUGAAGAAUCGAAGUCUGCGAUGGCUAAUGCUGAUUUUAGUAAAAAGUUUAACCCACAAAUGAUCAUUGAGUAUCUCAGGCCCCUUUGUAGAUCUGACCCAAUGCUGGUUUUGGAGUCUUCUUUGUAUGUUCUUGAACGCAACCCGUCAGACACUAUUGAGCUCUUUUUGUCUGAAAAUGUUCCAGCAGAUUUGGUAAAUUCAUAUCUGAAACAGCAUGCUCCAAAUUUGCAGUCAACUUACUUAGAGCUAAUGCUUUCAAUGAGUGAAACCGGGAUCAAUCCUAAUCUACAAAAUGAGCUGGUGCAACUUUACCUUUCUGAAGUUCUUGACUGGUACAAGAUUCUGAAGGAUGAAGGAAAUUGGAGUGAUAAAACAUAUUCCCCAACGCGGAACAAGUUGAUAUCUACAUUAGAGAGUAAUUCAGGUUACAAUACGGACACACUUCUUAAACGCCUUCCGCAGGAUGCUCUUUUUGAAGAGCGUGCUAUCAUGUACGGGAAAAUGAAUCAACACCUCCGUGCAUUAUCUCUCUUUGUUCAUAAGCUCCAUAUGCCAGAGCGUGCAGUUGCAUACUGUGACCGUGUUUAUGAGGAAGGAGCGCAGCAGCCUUCCAAGUCCAAUAUUUAUUUUAAUCUUCUGCAAAUUUAUCUAAACCCGAAAAAAGCUGAAAAAGAGAUCGAGCAGAAAAUUAUUCCAGUGGCAUCACAGUACCCUGGAAUUCAGAGGGUUAACUCUACUACUAAGCUCAGAGGAGGGCGUAUGGGUAGAAAGGUUGUUGAGAUUGAAGGGGCUGAAGACACACGCUUUAGCCCUAGUGGACCAGAUAGUGGCCGAAGUGAUGGUGAUGGAGAUGAUGUUAGCGACGGAGGCCCUAUAAUGUUGAACGAAGCACUUGAAUUGUUAAGCCAACGGUGGGACAGAAUAAAUGGUGCUCAGGCUCUUCGGUUGUUACCAAGAGACACGAAACUGCAGGAUCUGGUGUCAUUUCUUGAACCACUAUUGCGGAACUCUAGUGAACAUCGGCGCAAUUAUAUGGUUAUCAAAAACUUGAUUCUCCGGGCAAACUUGCAGGUAAAGGAGGACCUGUACAAACGACGCCAAGCUGUUGUGAAGAUUGAUGGAGAUAGCAUGUGUUCUCUUUGUCAUAAGCGCAUUGCAAACAGCGCUUUUGCAAUUUAUCCAAAUGGACAGACGCUGGUGCAUUUUGUAUGCUUUAGAGAAUCACAACAGAUUAAGGCUGUUAGAGGCGCAAACUCUGUGAAACGUAGAUGA
rnacentral:rRNA from 1 species